rnacentral:rRNA from 1 species
CCCAACCCAAAUGUGACAGUUAAGGGUUAUUUAAAGGGGGUACAGCCCCUUUAAAAAAGGACACAACCUCCACCAGCGGAUAAUCCCCAUACGCCCAACCCCGUGGGCUUUAAAGCAGCCACCCCCAAAGAUUGCGUCAAAGCUCUAUCAACUAAAAACCCCAAAACCAAUGCGACUCCCUACACCCACAGCAGGCCAACCUAUAACAAUAGAUGAAUCAAUGCUAGAACGAGUAACCAGGACACUAUGUCCCCCCAAGCGCCAGCCUGCACAUCAUUAACAGCAAAACCCCAAUAAUAACCACCCACCAUUGAACCCACCCUGUCAACCCAACUCAGGGGCGCACACUGGAGUGAUCAAAAUCUACAAAAGGAACUCGGCAAACCUAAGACCCGACUGUUUACCAAAAACAUAGCCUUCAGCCAAACAAGUAUUGAAGGUGAUGCCUGCCCAGUGACACCACGUUUAACGGCCGCGGUAUCCUAACCGUGCAAAGGUAGCGCAAUCAAUUGUCCCAUAAAUCGAGACCUGUAUGAAUGGCUAAACGAGGUCUUAACUGUCUCCUGUAGACAAUCGGUGAAACUGAUCUCUCUGUGCAAAAGCAGAGAUAAAAACAUAAGACGAGAAGACCCUGUGGAACUUCAAAAUCAAUAGCCACCCCACCCAACUUACCAGCCCACAGGCCCACCACCUAAGACACUGGCUAACAUUUUUAGGUUGGGGCGACCUUGGAGAAAAACAGACCCUCCAAAAACAGGGCCAAACCCCCUAACUAAGAGCAACCUCUCAACGUGCCAACAGCACCCAGACCCAGUAGACCUGAUCAAUGGAC